UUAAAUUGAAGAGUUUGAUCAUGGCUCAGAUUGAACGCUGGCGGCAGGCCUAACACAUGCAAGUCGAACGGUAACAGGAAGAAGCUUGCUUCUUUGCUGACGAGUGGCGGACGGGUGAGUAAUGUCUGGGAAACUGCCUGAUGGAGGGGGAUAACUACUGGAAACGGUAGCUAAUACCGCAUAACGUCGCAAGACCAAAGAGGGGGACCUUCGGGCCUCUUGCCAUCGGAUGUGCCCAGAUGGGAUUAGCUUGUUGGUGGGGUAACGGCUCACCAAGGCGACGAUCCCUAGCUGGUCUGAGAGGAUGACCAGCCACACUGGAACUGAGACACGGUCCAGACUCCUACGGGAGGCAGCAGUGGGGAAUAUUGCACAAUGGGCGCAAGCCUGAUGCAGCCAUGCCGCGUGUAUGAAGAAGGCCUUCGGGUUGUAAAGUACUUUCAGCGGGGAGGAAGGGAGUAAAGUUAAUACCUUUGCUCAUUGACGUUACCCGCAGAAGAAGCACCGGCUAACUCCGUGCCAGCAGCCGCGGUAAUACGGAGGGUGCAAGCGUUAAUCGGAAUUACUGGGCGUAAAGCGCACGCAGGCGGUUUGUUAAGUCAGAUGUGAAAUCCCCGGGCUCAACCUGGGAACUGCAUCUGAUACUGGCAAGCUUGAGUCUCGUAGAGGGGGGUAGAAUUCCAGGUGUAGCGGUGAAAUGCGUAGAGAUCUGGAGGAAUACCGGUGGCGAAGGCGGCCCCCUGGACGAAGACUGACGCUCAGGUGCGAAAGCGUGGGGAGCAAACAGGAUUAGAUACCCUGGUAGUCCACGCCGUAAACGAUGUCGACUUGGAGGUUGUGCCCUUGAGGCGUGGCUUCCGGAGCUAACGCGUUAAGUCGACCGCCUGGGGAGUACGGCCGCAAGGUUAAAACUCAAAUGAAUUGACGGGGGCCCGCACAAGCGGUGGAGCAUGUGGUUUAAUUCGAUGCAACGCGAAGAACCUUACCUGGUCUUGACAUCCACAGAACUUUCCAGAGAUGGAUUGGUGCCUUCGGGAACUGUGAGACAGGUGCUGCAUGGCUGUCGUCAGCUCGUGUUGUGAAAUGUUGGGUUAAGUCCCGCAACGAGCGCAACCCUUAUCCUUUGUUGCCAGCGGUCCGGCCGGGAACUCAAAGGAGACUGCCAGUGAUAAACUGGAGGAAGGUGGGGAUGACGUCAAGUCAUCAUGGCCCUUACGACCAGGGCUACACACGUGCUACAAUGGCGCAUACAAAGAGAAGCGACCUCGCGAGAGCAAGCGGACCUCAUAAAGUGCGUCGUAGUCCGGAUUGGAGUCUGCAACUCGACUCCAUGAAGUCGGAAUCGCUAGUAAUCGUGGAUCAGAAUGCCACGGUGAAUACGUUCCCGGGCCUUGUACACACCGCCCGUCACACCAUGGGAGUGGGUUGCAAAAGAAGUAGGUAGCUUAACCUUCGGGAGGGCGCUUACCACUUUGUGAUUCAUGACUGGGGUGAAGUCGUAACAAGGUAACCGUAGGGGAACCUGCGGUUGGAUCACCUCCUU
rnacentral:rRNA from 1 species